AAUAGGUAUAAAUAUUAAAAAAUAGGGUUACAGCAUUCAACAUUGUGUUAUAAUCUUAAUUCCUAUUUAAGCAAAGAAGCACAAAAAGGCAUAGAGAUUAAGCACAAUUUCAAAAAAAAAAAAAUAAGGAGAGACCAAUUCAAAAAUGUACUACAGCACAAUAACAAUGACGGUAUGUAUAAGUACAGAGACGCAUCAUAUGUAUCAAAGAAACAGAAAGGCCUAUAGACCAAGCACAGAAAAGGGUAGAUAUAUCUCGAUUUACCUCGAAAUCAAAGAACAUGUCGGAGGCGGAUUUAGGGAGGGCAGGUGGUUCGCCACCACCCCUUUUCGAGAAAAAAAAUUGGUUGAUGAUAUAGGGAAUCACUGAAGCGGGCCCCCUCUUAGGCAGCCAGUAAGCCCCACGUCCUAACUACACAAUAAUUUUGGCCAACUAAAUUAGACUCCACUGAAAUAUGCAUUAUGCCGUGCAGACAGACUGGAGCCAGCAUUUAAUCAAAUUUAUUAUUCAGUACAAUACAAUAAUCUCAAAUAUACAUAUGCAAACAUCUUAUUAAACACAGUAAUAGUAUCUAACACACAACUUUGUGAACCAAAAAAUAUACUUCCGACAACAAUAGUAAUAAAUAUCUAUUAACUACCAAGAACAUUCCAAAUGUUAAAUAUCAUAUUAUGAAUACCCGUCAUAAAAAACCAACUUAUAUAGUUUGGAAACCUGCGCACGGAGCAAUGCAAG
rnacentral:lncRNA from 1 species